UACGAAGGGGGCUAGCGUUGCUCGGAAUCACUGGGCGUAAAGGGUGCGUAGGCGGGUCUUUAAGUCAGGGGUGAAAUCCUGGAGCUCAACUCCAGAACUGCCUUUGAUACUGGAGUAUCGUGAGUUCGGGAGAGGUGAGUGGAACUGCGAGUGUAGAGGUGAAAUUCGUAGAUAUUCGCAAGAACACCAGUGGCGAAGGCGGCUCACUGGCCCGAUACUGACGCUGAGGCACGAAAGCGUGGGGAG
rnacentral:rRNA from 1 species